GUGCUUAUGGUGUAGUGGUAACACAGCUCCCUGUGGAGGAGCUAUCUCGGGUUCGAAUCCCGAUAAGCACC
rnacentral:tRNA from 1 species